rnacentral:rRNA from 1 species
UACGUAGGGGGCAAGCGUUGUUCGGAAUUACUGGGCGUAAAGGGCGCGUAGGCGGCACGGCAAGUCGGGGAGUGAAAGCCCGGGGGCUCAACCCCCGGAGGGUCUCUCGAAACUGCCGAGCUAGAGUGCGGAAGAGGCAAUCGGAAUUCCCAGUGUAGCGGUGAAAUGCGUAGAUAUCGGGAGGAACACCAGUGGCGAAGGCGCGUUUCUGGCCGGUUCCUGACGCUGAGGCGCGAAAGCUAGGGGAGCAAACGGG